AACAUACACAUCAUAUUAAGUGUACUAGUGGCCCCGCAGUAGUCGAAAUUCGACUAUGAUUAAUUGGAAUUAAUAAUGGCCAAACACAAGUUACAAGUGUGGAGUUGUACUGAGAGGUGCUUAUAAGAAACGGGAUGUACUCAACAUUAUUGCAAGCCGAAUGUUGAAGUACUUAAAGCACAUAAUAAUAAGUCCUAAGAAAUAUGAACUCCUAAAUAAUACAAGAUAAAGAGUCAGAAAACAGAAGUGUAGGAAAAAGAAGACAAUCGUGCCCGUAAAAUCAACGUCAAAGAUUUAGCAAAAGCACUCAUUCUUUGUUUAGAAUUGUUAUUUGUAAAGUCCAAGUCGUUUUGAUUAUCCUCCCAUUGCUAACUUUCGUUAGAGCACUUCACUUGAAGAAGAAAAUAACGAUCGUGUCAUAUAGUGAUAUAGUCUACACGAUAUCCAACGAAAGCAUUGAAAAUUAAAUGUUUAAUGUAACAACUAAAUAUUCGAGGGAUCGUGAUCAAAUUGAUCCCUAACGCUCCGGCCGAUUAUUGCCCACCUCGCCGGAGUGUGUCCUGCCGUCUUCCCAGGCGUGGCAGUGUUUAAUACACUAUAAUAAUAAAUUUUUAUUUCAGAAUUAAAUUCCAUAUGAAGUGUUAGUAAUACAAAAUCUUAAAGUGUUAGUAAUACAAAGUCUUUCUUAAAAAAA